rnacentral:rRNA from 1 species
UACGAAGGGGGCUAGCGUUACUCGGAUUGACUGGGCGUAAAGGGCGCGUAGGCGGUUCGUACAGUCAGACGUGAAAUUCCUGGGCUCAACCUGGGGGCUGCGUUUGAUACGUGCGGGCUUGAGUUCGGAAGAGGGUCGUGGAAUUCCCAGUGUAGAGGUGAAAUUCGUAGAUAUUGGGAAGAACACCGGUGGCGAAGGCGGCGACCUGGUCCUUUACUGACGCUGAGGCGCGAAAGCGUGGGGAGCAAACAGG